UACAGAGGUGACUAACGUUGUCCGGAAUUAUUGGGCGUAAAGGGCGCGUAGGUGGUCAGGUAAGUCAGGUGUGAAAGCUCUGGGCUUAACCCAGGAAUUGCAUCUGAUACUGCUUGGCUUGAGUACGGUAGAGGAGGGUGGAAUUCCCAGUGUAGCGGUGAAAUGCGUAGAUAUUGGGAAGAACACCGGUGGCGAAGGCGGCGAGCUGGCCUGUUACUGACGCUGAGGCGCGACAGCGUGGGGAGCAAACAGG
rnacentral:rRNA from 1 species